rnacentral:misc_RNA from 1 species
AUAGAAAUAAGGAAAUACAGGUGACCUAAAUUAUUUGUAUCGUCGUAGCUUUUGGAAACGCCCUUUAAAAAUAAGGUACUACAAGUCCCUGAUCAUAGCACCUGAGAUAGGUUUUGGCACAGUUCCAUAUAACCAGGCUUGUCAUCUGCUAGUUGAACAUAAAAACUCUCCUGGGGCCCUAUACAAUAAUUUCAAGUGAGUCAUAAGUCGAUUGAAGGCAUGCUAUAGUUUAAAAUGAUACCUAUUAGAGUAAGAUAGUGAUUUAAUAUUAAGAUAAGUGCAAUAGUGUUAAUUCAAAAUAAACCAUUAUAAUUGUGUUUGCUCGCAAACGAAAAAAAAACCGACUUCAAUUACAUCGACAAGUAAUACAACGUAGGACGUAAGUACACGAAAAAAUAGUCAAGUAA